rnacentral:lncRNA from 1 species
CUCCCAAGCUUCGACAUCCUCCCAUCUCCCCACCUUCUCUUGCCCAGUGAUGUCGGCUCUAACAGAGAAGCAUCAUUAAUUAUUUUUGAUCCCAAAUCUUAAUCAUAUGCCAAUUAACCAACUGAAUAACUAAUGGACGAGCCCAAAAUCUUCUUUCUUGAGGAUUUUGAUGGAUUUGGAUAUCAUAUGCCAAUUAAAAUUGACAAUUAAAAUAUCAUAUACC